UAUAGUUGGAGAAGAUUUUGUGGAACCCUGAGCCCUGAGACACCUAUAAAGCAGCUAUGGACGAUCAUUCACAGAACGUCAGGGAUAUAUAGGAAACCAUCUAUCCCAGCUUUGCUGGAAGGAGAUAGUGAAGCUGUAACCAAUAAGGAAAAGGCUGAUAUGUUUGUAGAGGUGUUCCAGGCGUUACACAGUUCUGGAGAGUUAGGUGAUUUGAGAAAGGAAAUUAUGUUAAAGGAAAGUUGGAAAUUGGACAGUUUGGAUGAUAAUAGCUCCAUAAAUUUGUUUUUCUCCUUUCAGGAAUUGCAGGAAGCUGUCCAAUCAGGUUCAAACACUUCUGGUAGGGAUGGACUGUGUUAUGAAUUGCUUAAACAUUUAGAUGACUCUGUAUUAAUAGAAAUUCUAACAUUGUUUAAUUCAGUGUGGAAAGAAGGAAAAUUACCAGUAGAAUGGAAGCAUGCGGUGGUAGUUCCAGUUUUAAAGCCAGAGGGCUGUAAUACGCCUAGAUACGUCUGAACAGCUGGAAAUUGAAGAAGAAGAUUCCCUGCUGGACUGUUUCCUUCCCCUUCCGCCUGAAGCCUUGCCUGCAUCCCUGUCAAGUUCAACCACGGGAGUGAGACUGGAGCCUUGCCACGCCAGGGAAAGGGGGAGAAGAUGGUGGCGUGACGACAGCGCGCGCGGCCGCUUCGGUGAUGAAUAUCUGUUAUCUGUCAAGUGGGGACCGUGCACAAUCCUGAUUUGAUGGAGACAGACAUGAGUGCAUAGCGGAACAUCUGGAAAAACUUCUGAAAUGCCGGCUUUGCUGCCGCUGCUACUGUGUGGUAACCGGAAUCUCCGGAGCAGAAGGCCCUGAAAUCCUCGGCUUUGCGUGUUUCAGCGGCCGGGGAGAGGUUGAAGGUGCUCGGCAGAGGAUGGCGCUCGGGAGACUGUAUCGGAGAGGCUGCUCGGAAGCUCAGAGUUUUCGGACGGAUGGACUCGGGGUCGGCUGUGGUCGGCUGCUUCCAAGGCAUUGGCAAGUUAACGGUGCCUGGAGGUUUAUGGCAGGGAGUUUCUGCCUUUUGCCACCUGCUAUCGGGGACUCGGGAGUCUAUCGACUUGGGACUUUGAGACUUUUUUUUACUGUGCCUAUGGACUGUUCUUCAUCAAAUUAUGGUAUUGCUUUGCACUGCUGUAACUAUAUGGUAUAAUUAUGUGGUUCUGUCAGUGUUAGUCUUUGGUCUGUCUUGUUUUCUGUGAUAUCACUCUGGAGAAACAUUGUAUCAUUUCUUAAUGCAUGUGUGCAUUUCUAAAUGACAGUAAAAGAGGACUGAGUGUUCUCAUAAUCUAAUCUAUAACACUUUCCAGACGAGUGUUUUUGGAAACAACAGCUUGCAGGUUGGGUAGUGUC